rnacentral:hammerhead_ribozyme from 1 species
AUCCAGAUGACGAGUCCCAAAUAAGACAAAACGAAAUUCCUGGAU